GAUGUGACUACAUUUGGAAAAUGGGAGUAAUGUGUGCGAUUUCAUCAUGACUAUCUCAAGAAAUAAUUGCUUGCCAUAUGGCGUGUUGGUGACACAGCCCCCACCAUUGAGGAUAGAAUAUGGAUGUGUGCACGACCCACCUUUGAUCAUGCAGGCAAGGACAAGACCCUCGAGAAUGGAGAACAAGAAGAUAUGCUUGAUCCCCGAUUGCCCUUUUGGACAGGACCUCCCCACUCUAACUGUGAGACUCCGAUCUAUCUAGGACACUUCCAUGUACAGGUUACUGAUGCUUUAGAAGCAUACACUCUUGCUUGCUGACGGCUGUGAGCCCGCCACCUGCACUCUGCCGACCGCGAGGAGCAGACGAGCAAGCGCGUGGCGGGGGUGGAGGCAGGCCGGCCUGAGACGGAGU